rnacentral:rRNA from 1 species
UACGAAGGGGGCUAGCGUUGCUCGGAAUCACUGGGCAUAAAGCGCACGUAGGCGGAUUGGUCAGUUAGGGGUGAAAUCCUGGAGCUCAACUCCAGAACUGCCUUUAAUACUGCCAGUCUCGAGUCCGGAAGAGGUAAGUGGAACUCCUAGUGUAGAGGUGGAAUUCGUAGAUAUUAGGAAGAACACCAGUGGCGAAGGCGGCUUACUGGUCCGGUACUGACGCUGAGGUGCGAAAGCGUGGGGAGCAAACAGG